UACGUAGGGUGCAGGCGUUAAUCGGAAUUACUGGGCGUAAAGCGUGCGAAGGCGGUUUUGUAAGCCAGAUGUGAAAUCCCCGGGCUUAACCUGGGAAUGGCAUUUGGGACUGCAAGGCUGGAGUGUGGCAGAGGAGACUGGAAUUCCUGGUGUAGCAGUGAAAUGCGUAGAUAUCAGGAGGAAUACCGAUGGCGAAGGCAGGUCUCUGGGCUGACACUGACGCUCAUGCACGAAAGCGUGGGGAGCAAACAGG
rnacentral:rRNA from 1 species